AGAUACUCAGUCUGCAGUGCAUCAUGGAUGUGUCUUCGAAUGAAGAUCAUUGCAGUAGCCUUCUGAGCUUCGUUAACAGGUUUGUCAGCGAUAGGUGUCUCGAUGGUGGCUUUAAUACCCUUUGUAGUCAGAUGAAGCUUCACGUCUUGAACCCACUUUAGAUAGUUUUUUUCCAGAGACUUCUAGAGCAAAGAAAUCGAGCUUGUUCAAGUUCUACAUGUCCCUAAACAGAGGGAAAAACGUGAUUAGUCAUAUGGUAAGCCAUAGACAUAUAUCGUAGAACAUGCAGGUUCUAUAGACAAGUAUUGGUUUAAUUUAUACAUGAAAACUACAGGUUUCAUGUGGUAUGUUUUGAAUGAAAACUUCAGGUUUCAAAGGCACUAAAUUUAAAACUAUAGGUUCAAUUUAGUUUUUAUGAACAAUUAGUUCAUAAUGAGAAGUUCCUGCAAGAAACACAGAAUGCAAUAUACUAAUUUAAAUAUAGUGGAUUUGAGGUUCUUCGGGAACUCAAGUGUGAGAGUUUCGUUACUAUGAAAGGAUGUUACGGUUCAAAGUAUAAAAAUAAAAUAAUUAUUGAAUUGUUAAUGUCCAAAAGUUAUCUUCAGGUCAAUAAUUUUGGAUUCAUUAUCAGAUUAAUGGACUACAGGUCACUUUUAAUUAAUUCAAUAAAUCGGACCAUACGGGACGAUUGUAGAAGUAAAUAAUAUUAUUGGAUAAAAAAUAUAGCCCCAAAAAUAUUUGGGCUCGUGUUGGGUGCCUUAAGUAAAA
rnacentral:lncRNA from 1 species